rnacentral:tRNA from 1 species
GCUCGUGUAGCUCAGUGGUUAGAGCUUCGUGCUUAUAGCGGCAUCAAAUCAAUGACGUUGUGCAAACUGUCACAGUUGUGUUAGAGUAACGCGACCGUCGUGGGUUCGAACCCCACCUCGAGCA